CGUUUCAAAAGCAAGUGGUAGAAUGCUCGCCUGCCACGCGGGCGCCCCGGGUUCGAUUCCCGGCCGA